UAGCUCAGUUGGUAGAGCAGUUGACUUUUAAUCAAUUGGUCGCAGGUUCGAAUCCUGCACGACCCACCAAUCUCUGGUGGAUUGCAAGAGUGUGAACGUGAAGGAUAACGUUGCGAAAGCAACGGCACGAAGGGCGAGGCGAAGCCGAGUCAUCCUGCACUACCCACCA
rnacentral:sRNA from 2 species